rnacentral:lncRNA from 1 species
GGGCAGCGAUUUGUUGGGAUCUAUCGAGCGACCAUGGGUUGGUCCUUGGGUGGCAUCCCUGCGGAUCAGGCAGCCCUGUCAAUCCAAGGUUUCAGCCAAGCCGAGGAAGGAGGACGAGUCCAAUCCAGACCCCUCAGGUCCCAGCUUGUCCCCCUCCCAUCCGAGCUCCCCAACGAUGCAAGAUGGCUCGCGAGGAUCGCCUCCGAAUUCUGA